GCGCUCGCUUCAGCAACACAUACACUGAAACGGAAACAGUACGGAGCAGGUUAGCAUGGCUCUUGUUCAGGGAUGACACUCAAAUUCGUGAAGCCUUUCAUAAAAAA